rnacentral:rRNA from 1 species
GAUGAACGCCGGCGGUGUGCCUAAUACAUGCAAGUCGUACGCACUGGCCCAACUGAUUGAUGGUGCUUGCACCGGAUUGACGAUGGAUCACCAGUGAGUGGCGGACGGGUGAGUAACACGUAGGUAACCUGCCCCGGAGCGGGGGAUAACAUUUGGAAACAGAUGCUAAUACCGCAUAACAACAAAAGCUACAUGGCUUUUGUUUGAAAGAUGGCUUUGGCUAUCACUCUGGGAUGGACCUGCGGUGCAGUAGCUAGUUGGUAAGGUAACGGCUUACCAAGGCGAUGAUGCAUAGCCGAGUUGAGAGACUGAUCGGCCACAAUGGAACUGAGACACGGUCCAU